rnacentral:rRNA from 1 species
AUAACAUCCGGAAACGGGUGCUAAUACCGCAUAGUUUUCUUGAUCGGCAUGAUUGGGAAAGGAAAGACGGCCUUUGUGCUGUCGCUUAUGGAUGGACCCGCGGCGUAUUAGUUAGUUGGUGAGGUAACGGCUCACCAAGACGAUGAUACGUAGCCGACCUGAGAGGGUGAUCGGCCACAUUGGGACUGAGACACGGCCCAAACUCCUACGGGAGGCAGCAGUAGGGAAUCUUCCGCAAUGGACGAAAGUCUGACGGAGCAACGCCGCGUGAGUGAAAAGGAAGGUUUUCGGGAUCGUAAAACUCUGUUGUCAGAGAAGAACAAGUUGGAGAGUAACUGCUCCAGCCUUGACGGUAUCUGACCAGAAAGCCACGGCUAACUACGUGCCAGCCGCGGC